rnacentral:rRNA from 1 species
AUAGGGGAGCCGGAGGGAAACCGAGUCUUAACUGGGCGUUAAGUUGCAGGGUAUAGACCCGAAACCCGGUGAUCUAGCCAUGGGCAGGUUGAAGGUUGGGUAACACUAACUGGAGGACCGAACCGACUAAUGUUGAAAAAUUAGCGGAUGACCUGUGGCUGGGGGUGAAAGGCCAAUCAAACCGGGAGAUAGCUGGUUCUCCCCGAAAGCUAUUUAGGUAGCGCCUCGUGAAUUCAUCUCCGGGGGUAGAGCACUGUUUCGGCUAGGGGGCCAUCCCGGCUUACCAACCCGAUGCAAACUGCGAAUACCGGAGAAUGUUAUCACGGGAGACACACGGCGGGUGCUAACGUCCGUCGUGAAGAGGGAAACAACCCAGACCGCCAGCUAAGGUCCCAAAGUCAUGGUUAAGUGGGAAACGAUGUGGGAAGGCCCAGACAGCCAGGAUGUUGGCUUAGAAGCAGCCAUCAUUUAAAGAAAGCGUAAUAGCUCACUGGUCGAGUCGGCCUGCGCGGAAGAUGUAACGGGGCUAAACCAUGCACCGAAGCUGCGGCAGCGA